rnacentral:rRNA from 1 species
CUGGCGGCGUGCCUAACACAUGCAAGUCGAACGAGAAUCUCUGGAUUGAGGCUUCGGCCGAUUGAAGGAGAGGAAAGUGGCGAACGGGUGAGUAACGCGUGAGAAACCUGCCUUUCAGUGGGGGACAACAGUUGGAAACGACUGCUAAUACCGCAUGAUGUAUUCGGGGGGCAUCCCCUGAAUACCAAAGCUUUAUGUGCUGAAAGAUGGUCUCGCGUCUGAUUAGCUAGUUGGUGGGGUAACGGCUCACCAAGGCGACGAUCAGUAGCCGGUCUGAGAGGAUGAACGGCCACAUUGGGACUGAGAUACGGCCCAGACUCCUACGGGAGGCAGCAGUGGGGAAUAUUGGGCAAUGGACGCAAGUCUGACCCAGCAACGCCGCGUGAAGGAAGAAGGCUUUCGGGUUGUAAACUUCUUUUAUCAGGGAAGAGCAGAAGACGGUACCUGAUGAAUAAGCCACGGCUAACUACGUG